UGCCAUUUCUCCCAUUUCCAGGCUGGAAAAUGAGAGACUCUAUCCCCAAAUUAAUUACCAGCUAUUUGGAGAAGAAAUUUAACUCUGACUUGCUGAUCACACACACGCUGCCAUUUGCUAAAAUCAACGAGGGAUUUGAAUUGCUACGUGCAGGCAAAAGCAUUCGCAGCGUGCUGCUCUUCUGAAGGAUGCGAUCGGGGCAGCACGAGUGCAGCACACAGCCCAGCAGAUGCCCUCCUGUGCGGGCCCUUCCCUCCCCCGUCGCCCUUCAUGGACUGCAAA